UACAGAGGUCUCAAGCGUUGUUCGGAUUCAUUGGGCGUAAAGGGUGCGUAGGCGGCGCGGUAAGUCGGGUGUGAAAUCUCGGAGCUUAACUCCGAAACUGCAUUCGAUACUGCCGUGCUUGAGGACUGGAGAGGAGACUGGAAUUUACGGUGUAGCGGUGAAAAUGCGUAGAUAUCGUAAGGAAGACCAGUGGCGAAGGCGGGUCUCUGGACAGUUCCUGACGCUGAGGCACGAAGGUCAGGGGGAGCAAAACGGGGAUUAGA
rnacentral:rRNA from 1 species